UACAGAGGUCUCAAGCGUUUGUUCGGAUUCAUUGGGCGUAAAGGGUGCGUAGGCGGCGCGGUAAGUCGGGGUGUGAAAUUUCGAGGCUUAACUUCGAAACUGCAUUCGAUACUGCCGUGCUUGAGGACUGGAGAGGAGACUGGAAUUUACGGUGUAGCGGUGAAAUGCGUAGAUAUCGUAAGGAAGACCAGUGGCGAAGGCGGGUCUCUGGACAGUUCCUGACGCUGAGGCACGAAGGUCAGGGGGAGCAAACGGG
rnacentral:rRNA from 1 species